GGGACACGGCCCAGAUGCUCUGGUCCCAGCAGAAGUGACUGGCGGGGACCAGGUGAGGUGAUGAGGUCUGUUAGUGGGGCUGAGGGAAGGGGUCUUCCCCAGACUGAGGGGGUCACAAGUUUGGGGCCGAGGACACUGGGGUAUCCCCUCGGAGGAGCGGGAAAGAAGAAGCUUUCUCAGGGCUGUGAGGACCGCGGACCCUUGCCCACUUCCACAGAAACUGUCCCAAUCCCCGCGGGGAAGGAACAGCCAGGGAUCCGGUUACUGGCAUUGGAACCUGCUUUUGGAAAAAUUUCACAUCUGUCAGCUGAUGAAGACACAACGCCCAAAUACGCUGGCCGCAAGAGUCAGAGUGCCACUCUCCUGGGACAAAGAUGGUCAUCUAACCACUUAGCUCCUCCAAAGCCAAUGAGUUUAAAGACAGAAAGAAUUAACUCGGGGAAAACACCACCACAGGAAGAUAGAGAGAAAAGUCCUCCCGGGAGACGUCAAGACAGAAGUCCAGCACCCACUGGAAGGCCGACUCCCGGUGCAGAAAGACGGGGGGUGUCUGAAGACGGAAAGGUGACCUCGGAAACCUGGGUCACUCUACACUGGCAGCAUGGAAAAUUCAGAUUCAGAUGAAGUUCCACUUAGGUCUCAUAAGAGUACUCAAUUUGUUAUUCGAAAUAGACCUAGUAAUUUAUUAACCUAAUUAUGUUUCUAUAGAUAAAACUUUGAAUUUCUGCAGACAUGUCUUUAAUGCUAUAAAAGCAAAUAAAUUGAAUUGGGUUUUAAAAAGCAAACAACUUGAAUUGGGUUUUAAAAAUCAAUUACUUUCCCGAGCUCCGUAAUUGGUAUAUUUCUGCAGAGUCUUUAAAAGAAUUGAUCUACCUUGUAGUGCUGAGCUCAGGGCUGUUGGGUGAGCCCUGGGGUCUUGCUGGAAAUUGUGGAUGGCUGAAGAUGGCUUCGUGCUCCCAGCCUUUGGGCUCGAGGCAUUGCCGGCUGCAGGGACCUUGUGACAAGGGGGGCCUCUGACUGUCUUUGCCCCAGAUUAUGCAUCCAUCUUCCCGAAGUCCGCAAAACUCCGGUGGCAGAAAAUCACCAGUGCAGGCUUCCCAGGCCACCACGCUGCAGGAGCAGACGGCAGCAGCCAGAGGAGCUGGUGAGCAGGGUCGAGGGCUCCUAACUGUUUCCAUGCUUCCUGUAAAGUGGGGGGCUUUCUUGUGGAUACGCGUGAGCAGAACAUCUUACUACGGCAAGGACAUGUCCUUCAUGGAGCUGCCUAAUUUCUGACCACUUUUGUCCGAUUCCCUGGUUGGGUCCUCACCUGGGAGUCUUGCCGACACCCCUAGCCCUCCACCCCACACACAGCCCACAUGCCGGUCUCCAGGGGCCGUGGCUGGAGAUUCCGAAUCCUACCGGCCACUUCCCCUGAGUACACUCCCAGCUGAAGGCGUCUGGCUGGGCCUGGGCGGACUCGGGGGCUUUGUUCCCUUUUCUCCGUUUGCCCGCCCAUGGCGUUGCUGCCACGCUGAUGGAGCGCCCUCUCAUCCGGCACCUGCCCGGCCUCUUUCCUGAGCCCAGCUCUGUCCAUGCAGAUGUGGGUGCUUUCUGCAUUGGGGGUCCCACCGGGAGGAGCCAACAGUACCCCUGGUAGAGUUGGGAAAGAACUCCUUCCUCACGUUACUGCCAGAAAAUGACCAUAGCAGCUUCACAAACCCCGCAGGAACCUGUCUUCCUAAAGAAAUGGAGCCCAUGAGGUGGCCGAGCCUCAGGUGUGGUCCUUAUGCACAGCACAGCCCAAGCCUGUGGGCACAACUCGCCCUGGGCUGCCUGGCACCUGGACUCUUUCCUAUCCUCGGCCCAGGCCUGUGUGGCCCUGUAGGGCCAAACCCGACACUGUCUUCCUCCUGGGUCCGCUCCCUGGGCCUCCUGCACCCCAGACUGCUUCAUGGCCUCUGCAGGGAGCUUCACAGAGGUGAGACUGGUGCCAUCUGUCUGCUUCAGACCACCCCAGGCUCUGCGUACCCUCACAGUCCCCUCUGCGCUCCUCUACGGGGUGGGGAAGCCCUUCCCAUCAGGUCAGCACCAGCCUGGCCACCUUGUUUCUGCUGCCCCCUCCUCUUCAGGCCCCCAGACCAGACUUUAGUUACUUGCUGCUGCCGGGCAGAACUGGAGGCCUUGUCUUGCACAACCUCCACAACCUCCAGGCAUCAUCUCAGCUGACAGUGACGCCAUCCUGGGGAAGACCCCCCGGAUCCCGGGCUCUCCUGGAAGCCUGUGAUGCUCCUUCACCACAGCCCCUGUCCCUUCAUAGGUCCCAUAAGCCAGUGGUGCAGGGAUCUGGCCUUUCUCUCCUGUGUCUGCCUCCUGCAGAACCAUGAGCAGCUUCAGGGCCGAGGCAGUGCCUUUCCAUCCGUGAAUCUCCUGAGCCAUCAGAAUACUCGAGAGAGAGUGAUGCCCAAGAAAUACUGACUGAGUGUAUUCAUGAAAGAAUUAAUGUUCUUACAGGAUCACUUGUUGUUGAACUGACCUGACAUGUGUAUAGUGAUCUCAUGAACAAGAGGGAAGCUGUGCAUCCAUUCACUUCAAUUGGAUUUAGCAAUCGCAGUAGGAUAAUGAUAUUUCCACAAUGUAUAUGCUCUGUCCCUUUAAAUUUAACUUUUUGCUUUUUAGACAGAAGCUCAUCAGUCUUAGGGAGUUCUGAAGGCGGAUUUCUCAGCCGCGUUCAAGCUGACGAGUUCGCCAGUUCUGCCCCAGACAGUGCAGAGCGGCAGGUAGGUGGCUGAGUGGCUUCUGUGAGGGCGGCCCACCCGGUUCCCCUCAGGGAGACCUGAGAAGGUGACCUUUUCGUCCUGGGGAAGUGAGAUUCGGAGCCGGUGUCAUGAGAUGGUUGCAUCUUCCCAUCUUCUCAACAAGAACAGAAAAUUAAGAUGAUUCCAAAUGUCUCUUUAUUUCCUGAAGUUCAGCCUUUCAAACAGAGACUUUUUUUUAUAGAUUUAAGUUGGUUGCAUUUAGCACAAACAAGAUUAAUGUUUUUUAUGACUUAAGAGUUCCCCUAGUCAGAGUUUCAUUUUUUAUCAUUUUGAUUUACAGUUCUCAGUUGACAUUAAUAGACUCGAAGGCAAGAAUAGCAAACAUACUUCUAAGCCCUAGCUAGGGGCCGACUUGUAACAUGCUAUAUUUUACAAAAAAAAAAAGUCAAUAAAAUAAAAUUAUUUUCUCUACGCCAGGAAA
ensembl:lncRNA TCP10L3 t-complex 10 like 3 (pseudogene)